rnacentral:lncRNA from 1 species
AAAGGAAAAGACAAUCACAGAAGAAACCACAAACGUAAAAAAAGAGUGAAGAAUAGAACAAGCAGACGCUACUAAAUGCCAGGAUAUAUGAGCAUACGCAAUGAUGUUGAAUGGAAAUUGAAGGGAAAAUGUGAGGGAAUGACAAGGGAAAUAAAUCAUAUUGAAUGUUAAUGAAGAAAGGAAGUGAGUGAAUGUAAGAAAUGGGCAUGAGAUUUGUGUAUGCUGUAGAUGAAGAUGUAUGCAACAGACAGAUAGGAAGACAAGCAGACAGACAAUGCAAUAUAUAUUGAGAGAGAGAGAGUGAGAGAGAGAGCGAAGCAGUCUAACACGCAGCAAUGGUGAGGCACAAUGAGGCGAGGCUUGUGGUAAGAAGAAUCAAUAACUGUGAAUGAGAUAUGUGCAACUGCAACACAUACUUGCGGUUGUGGUUAAUGCAUGUGGCAUGUUGCACAUUGCCACAAACACCAACACAUCAGAGUGCAUAGCGCACAUUCACAGACAUGCUCAUUCUGCUGCACGCUGCGCUGAAGUAGAAGGGUUUUGCAGCAGCUUCAUGGUAAUGGCCACCGCAGAGCGAUUAAGUUGGAAAAUCUGUUUAUUAUUGAAGAGGUAAGAUACAACGCCCGAUUGAAAGGAGUGAGUUUUUGUGUUUUGUGUUGCUGAUUUUCGUACAUUCACAAGCAUACACAUUACUCACAACAACAAAAUGUCACAAAGACAAUGCGAAGAAAAAGACAAAAAAAGGAUAUUGGAAGCUGAAGGUAGGUAGAGGUGUGGAAGAAAGUGGCGCAGAGACUUCACUUGCACCGACACAAAGUAAAACAACAACCAACGUACAACAGCAGAUAAUAGCAAUAAGCGUUGACUGGCCGGAGUUGUCGUUGCACUGAGACCGGAUUACGGUGUUUCAUGUACACCACAACACCACAGAAUUUGUCCCUUCGAUUAUUAUUUGCAGUUCUGCUGCUCCUUAUAACGCUUGUGUGUGGAUGUGUGUGUUUGUGUGGCAACAAGGUGUGUUAAGGCUGAUGCUAAAGCGGUUAAGCGAUUUGCAAGAAGCUGUCGAUACAAGCUCAGACACAUACGCAUAAGUCCAGCAUUGUUCUACUUACAUACAAAUCGCUUGAAUUUUCGGCGUGAGCAACAAUACAAUACAACCCCCAAAAACUCUACCGCAGCGCUACUGGUUUUUCCGCAGAAAGGACCUCUUUGCAUAUGAAGAAGCAGAAGAAAAACGAGAUAUCCUGUGAAAAAGGAUUGCUAACGGUUGAAUGCAAUUCAUUAGAAAUGUAUAAAGCAUAUGCACUCAAGCAUAUUAUUAUCUGCAGCAGCCAAGAAAUGAAAGAAAGCAAAAAAAAUUGAGGAAAAAAGAUAAAGUGAUAAGCGCUGACUAAAUUGUCGUGGCAUAUCCUUCGAAGAAUGCACCACAACAAUGCGGUUGAUGUCACGCAGGGAGUUGGGGAUUAGAUGCGACGCAUCAAAUCAACAUUGACAAUCAGUUGACAAUGCUCAGUUGAUCGUAUGGUUUUUUGAUGAUGAUGAUGAUGCUGAUGUUGGCAGUUGAUUGUAAGAGAUUUUAAUAUUCUUAAUAUACUUUGCUUGCAGCUGUGUGGCGGUCAAAAAAUAUAAAAAAAAGGUAUGAAAAGCAGCUGAUUUUUGCGAGAAAUCUUUUUGGCAGCAUAUUUUGUGAGGACAAAGAAAUCGGACAACGGAAGAUUACAGCCCUUUUUCAGGAGCGUAUUUGAGUAGAAUUUUUGAUUUUUAAACACGCUAUCAGUUUUUGGCAAGGAAAGAGCAGCGAAAAUACCUCUCCCCGUUGGUGAAUGGGAGUUAAUCGAAAUUGUUUAUUUCUCUUUAACAAACACUGAUUUUAUUGAUUGAAAAUUGACAACAGCGCAAAAGGCGGUACAUAUUUCCAGUAGCGAGAUCUAAUUAUGUAUCUGUCAAGAUGGUGAAACAACUAUUUUAUUAAUCCAAAGAAAAUUGGCAACGUCGUAAAAGCGCCGUUAUAAGAAAGUAAAAAAAAAUCGGUCGAGAGGCACUCUUACGAUUAAUUUGGGCAAGCUUGUCUCUAUGAGACUUCCUAAAGUCAACUUAAUCUAAUGAGCUUCAUCUUAAUAUACGCUCACCUGGAGCAGUUGUGUAGCGGUCAGAAUAUGAAAUUCAAAAGAAGGAAAACAGCUGAUUUUUGCGAGAAAUCUUUUUUGGCAACAUAUUUUUUAAGGAAAAAGAGUCGGACAACGGAAGAUUAGAGAAGCGUAUUCAAAUAGAAUUUUUCAUUUUUGAAGUCACUACCAGUUUUUGGUCAAGAAAGAAGCAGAGAAUAUAUAUCUCUCUCGAGAAUGGCAACAGCGCAAGGGCGUCGUUACGAGUAAGAGAAACAAAUAUUUUCAGUAUCAGGUGGUGAAUAUUCAUCAGUCAAAACCUUAAAAGUUUCUCUUCUGAAAGAGGUUUCAUUUACUGAGCAAAAGUCAAAAUGCUUUCUGACAACCGUUGAAUUUAUCAAGAGAAAAUUGGCAACAGCGGUAAAGCAUUGUUAUGAAAAAGACUUUCUUUCUUACGUAAAAUAAUUUUAAAAAAUUUUUUAUGACUACUGUAUAUAGAAAUAUUCUAGAAUUUCGGAAUCUAAAAUAUGGCAACGUUGCAAACAGUGUUUACUCCUUGAGUCAGACUGUAGAAACUACCUUUACAUAGCAAAUGAACUCAAAUCUGUUGCUGAGUCUGUAAAGGCAAUUAACUGAACUGUUUAGCUAUCUAAUCUUAUAUAUGUGAGACUCCACAGAAUGAAUCAGUUCAAUCGAAUCUAAUUUUAACUUCAGCUGGGGUAGCUCAAAAAUUUUCAUUUCUUUAUAAGUUGCCUCCUCUGCUAUCUGGGAUUGUGGGGGGAUGAGCUAUUUUGUUAGGAGAUUUUUUUUUUCUAAAAUCGAAUUUAAGUAACCCAGUUGUCAUAUUAACCGCAUCGGCAUUAUUAGUUUAUAAGAAAAGAUAGCCAAUUUGUCCUGAUUAUUACGCUGGAUUCAUAUUUCCCUGCCAGUGACCGCUAUGAGAGAGCAGUGCAAAGAAAGUGGAGAGCAUGUUUACUUAAACCCAUUGAAAUUAUUUAUAUGGCUUUUCAACUGUUGGUGGGUAGAUCGCUCUUAAUGCGCCAUCGACCUCUUUCUGCGGCUCGAAACUCUACACAUUCGUAUAUGCUUUUCCCUGUUCCAUUUUAUAAGUCAUGUUUUCGUUAGUUCUAGGGUUAAUCUGUUUCUUUUUUUUGCCAGAAGGAGGCCUUCCUGAAGCGCUUGUAAUGAGAAUCGUACCUUUUUCGCUUCAGAGCUAUGGCCACGGAUGUAGAUAAUAGAAAUAUAGUUUUUUUCGAACCAGAUUCUCAGUUUUUACUAAAGUCGUUAUCCCACCUACACCAUUUUUUUGAAUUGGAAUAGUAUUAACCUCCCUCAGUGCACCUUACUUCAUUCACUUACACAGAGAUUCUUCAAAUUUUACGCAAAA